CUUUCCCUCUGGCGGCAUGCCUUACACAUGCAAAUCGAACGGUAACGGGCCUUCGGGUGCCGACGAGUGGCGAACGGGUGAGUAAUACAUCGGAACGUGCCCGAUCGUGGGGGAUAACGAGGCGAAAGCUUUGCUAAUACCGCAUACGAUCUACGGAUGAAAGCAGGGGACCGCAAGGCCUUGCGCGGACGGAGCGGCCGAUGGCAGAUUAGGUAGUUGGUGGGAUAAAAGCUUACCAAGCCGACGAUCUGUAGCUGGUCUGAGAGGAUGAUCAGCCACACUGGGACUGAGACACGGCCCAGACUCCUACGGGAGGCAGCAGUGGGGAAUUUUGGACAAUGGGCGCAAGCCUGAUCCAGCCAUGCCGCGUGCAGGAUGAAGGCCUUCGGGUUGUAAACUGAUUUUGUACGGAACGAAAAGCCUUCUUUUAAUACAGGAGGGUCAUGACGGUACCGUAAGAAUAAGCACCGGCUAACUACGUG
rnacentral:rRNA from 1 species